UACGGAGGGGGUUAGCGUUGUUCGGAAUGACUGGGCGUAAGCGCGCGUAGGCGGAGUCAGGAAGUUGGGGGGUGAAAUCCCGGGGCUCAACCCCGGAAUGGCCUUCAAAACUCCUGGUCUUGAGUUCGAGAGAGGUGAGUGGAAUUCCGAGUGUAGAGGUGAAAUUCGUAGAUAUUCGGAGGAACACCAGUGGCGAAGGCGG
rnacentral:rRNA from 1 species